GCCCCCGUAGCUCAGUCGGAUAGAGCGAGGCUUUCCUAAAGCCUAGGCCGCAGGUUCGAAUCCUGCCGGGGGUA
rnacentral:tRNA from 1 species